UGUGUGUGUGUGUGUGUGUGUGUGUGAUGGUGAAAGGGUGGAGAUACUCAGGUGGGGGUCAGAGGGAGGCUGGCAAAUGGCACUGCUUGGACAACUUUGAAGUUUUGCAAAAAGGCACAAAACAAUCACGUAUUGUUUUUUGGCAGGUUUUUAAUUUUUUUUUUUUUUUUUUUUGGUAAACGGAUCUCCUCCCUGUUGGGAAAAGAAAAACCCAACCACCAAACAAACCCCUCACAACAAUGCCCUUCUCUCUCUGGAACCAAUUUCCAGACUGCACAGCAGUCCUGACAAGGUCAACAAGCUGGAGCGGUUUGGAAAAACACCAGAUUCUUUAACCUGGUAUUCCGUGCCCAGCAUCAUUUGUUUUCCAGGUUCUGCUCCAUCACAGCCAAGGUCUGCUUCUGACUGCGUGUGUUAGUUGUUCAGUCAUGUCCAACUCUGCAACUCCAAGGACUGUGGACCACCACGCUCCUCUGUCCAUGGGAUUCUCCAGGCAAGAACAAUGGAGUGGGUAGCCAUUCUCUUCUCUAGGGGAUCUUCCCGACUCAGAGAUCUAACCCCGGCCUCCGGCAUUACAGGCAGAUUCUUUACCGUCUGAGUCACCAGCAUUCCGACUAGAACUGCAGAAACCUAAGGGUACUCCCUGAGCAUACACGGUGCCCAAGAUCCCGUGCUAGGCCCUUGCAUUCCUCAUUUCAUUUUCCCUCAUGUCCAGCCCCACAAUGUAGCUAUUAGAGUAUAUUAUUCAGAUAAGGAAUCCAAAGGUCACAGAGAUUCAGCGGUUGAUCGAUUGGAAUGUACAGGAAUGCUGAGUGAUGAUGUCAUGUCUAAAUCCAGGCUCCUGGACCCCUCAGCUGAACAUCAGUCUGCAUCUCCAAGGUCCUGUCUCCAGGAUCCACACUGGAGUCAG